GAUGAGCCCGCGUUGGAUUAGCUAGUUGGUGGGGUACAGGCCUACCAAGGCGACGAUCCAUAGCUGGUCUGAGAGGAUGAUCAGCCACAUUGGGACUGAGACACGGCCCAAACUCCUACGGGAGGCAGCAGUGGGGAAUAUUGGACAAUGGGCGCAAGCCUGAUCCAGCCAUGCCGCGUGAGUGAUGAAGGUCUUAGGAUUGUAAAGCUCUUUCACCGGGGACGAUAAUGACGGUACCCGGAGAAGAAGCCCCGGCUAACUUCGUGCCAGCAGCCGCGGUAAUACGAAGGGGGCUAGCGUUGUUCGGAAUUACUGGGCGUAAAGCGCACGUAGGCGGAUAUUUAAGUCAGGGGUGAAAUCCCGGGGCUCAACCCCGGAACUGCCUUUGAUACUGGGUAUCUUGAGUGUGGUAGAGGUGAGUGGAAUUGCGAGUGUAGAGGUGAAAUUCGUAGAUAUUCGCAGGAACACCAGUGGCGAAGGCGGCUCACUGGACCACAACUGACGCUGAGGUGCGAAAGCGUGGGGAGCAAACAGGAUUAGAUACUCUGGUAGUCCACGCC
rnacentral:rRNA from 1 species